UUCGACUCGAGCGAAGCGAGAGAACGUUGCCGCAGGCAACGGCCCGAAGGGCGAGGCGCUUUAGCGCCGAGUAAUCCUUCCCCCACCACCA
rnacentral:sRNA from 1 species